CAGCAGGGUUAACACCUGGGAGCAUCCCAGCUGACUGCUCUGCGCAGGCGCAUCUGAGGAGGGUGGAGCCUCUGGAUUCACCUUUCAGGUGGAUGGAGGCUUCGUGGUCUGUGGCGUCCUGUCUCUCCUGACGUCAACCGGAGCUACUUCCCACCAGGAGAAAGGGAGCAAGGGAGAAGCCCCAUCAACAUGAUAAAGAACACGCUAUAAAAGGGGAGCCGCCGAGGUUAGGGAAGAUGGGUACCUUGAGAUGCUGUGCUGGAUGAAUUCUUGGAGCGUCAGGCAGGAUGCUCGUUUCCCAGGAGCCAUCCUGCCCACAUCCCCCACCCCGUGGGGUGACAUCUCGUGUCCAGAUUGUUUGGGGGAGCUCACAUUAUCCCUUACCCCUUGAGGGAGCCUCACAAGUUACCAGCUGAAAAAGAAACGGAAAACAAAUCCGCUGAGCGGUGAAACACAAAACCAACAGAGGGAGAGGCAUCAGGACCCUCGGUAAAAGGAAAUUACGCCAAACCAACCUGUGUCAGUUCUUGGAGCAGGUUUGAGGCCAGACACUAGAAAUAAACAUACGGCUCCGGCAACAAAUUAAUUCAUGAUCCUUGGUUUGUAAGUGCAACAUUGUGAUCUAUUGCGCCAGAUGAUUUGCAUAAAAUGGAGAAAAGUUUCUUUCUCUAAAGGAUAUAAAAUGCAGAUACAAACAAAGAACCAUAACAGGACAAGGAAAGUACAAGAAGAGGAACACACAGAAUGCCGUAGCAAAGGGCAUCUCUGCCUCCAUAUGAUUGGCAUUUAGGCUGGAUAAUUGUUCAUCGUGGGGUCUGUCCUGUACAUUGAAGGGUGUUUAGAAACAUACCUGGCCUCUACUCCAUAGAUGGGGGUAGCACUGCCUCCCCACCAAAUUUUGAAAACCAAAAAUGUCUCCAGACAUUGCUCAGUGUCACAGAGGGGGAGUGUGGGAUGUGAGAGCCCCCACCGCUUCAGCCUCGGUACAAGGGGCACCUCACUCAGCCCUGAGAUGAUGGUGGGGAGGGGGCACUCCAGGGGGUAAGAGAAGGGUGGGAGGCUGAAGGAAGGUCUUUGGAGGUGAUACCGGAGCCAAGGUUUUGAGAAUGAGUAGGUGGUAGCCAGCCAGGUGCAAGACCAACCAGAUCAGAAGCAUUUCUUUUUUUCUUUUUUUCUUUUUUUUUUUUUUUAGGGC